UAGGUGUAUUGGCUAUGCCAAUACACCCCUAAUCGGUGGGCCCCACCUAAUACCUCUCUAAUCCGCCGUUUGGUUCAGCGUAUUGCUAAUACGCGUGUAUUUCGUUACUUUCCUAAUCGGUGAAAAGCACCGAUUUCUAUUCCCCCUUCUGCCCAAAUUAGGUGAUGCUUCAGCAAACCCUCCCUCUUUUACUCUCCCCCGAUCCCCUUUGUUUCUCUUCUGUUUUCCACCUUCAUCCGAUUUGCUUCCUUGUUUCAUUGCUUUUCUUUUCUGCCGAUUUGGUACCAGUUUAUUUUCUUGCCUUUUCUUUUGUUUUCUUUCGUUUUCCCUCUAACCAAACACUAAAUUUUCCCUCUCUUUCUCUCCAUUUUCUUUCAUAAUACUCGGAGCGUAAAAAGAAAAAAAAAUACUGUAAUUACUUUCUAGACGAUAACUAGAGAGAGUGAAGCCAAGAACUUUCUGGAAUUUUUAAUCUAACCUUCUUCUUUUUUUGUUUUAGUUCAGAGAGAGUGUUUUUGAAUUUCAUCGUUUGUUAAUUUCUUCUUUAGUUUCCUUUUCUUUUGCUACUUGAUUCGGUUAACGAUCAAUAUGUGAGAUUUAGCUCUUUGAUAGUCGGAAUUAGAAUGAUGGAGCGGUUAAUCUCCGUUUGUUUACAAUUGAUUUUGGUGUUGGAUUUGGUUUUCAGAGUUUCAGGAAAUGCGGAAGGAUGUUGUAUUAUGCCAUGCAGGGAUCUUUCAAACAAUAAGCUAGAAGGAGAUAUUCCAGUUAAUGGUUCCUUUUCACUCUUCACUCCCAUCAGAGUUUUGCUAAUAAUUGGUUGAAUAAUCCUCCACCUGCUCCGCCGCUUCCUAUCACACCUACAGCUCCAAUUCCAUCAGAACGUCCGGAAUCUCAAGCACCACUUGAUUGGGCUGUAAGGAAACGGAUUGCAUUAGGAGCUGCAAGGGGGCUUGCAUAUUUGCAUGAUCAUUGUGACCCUAAGAUUAUACACCGUGAUGUAAAGGCUGCAAAUAUAUUGUUGGAUGAGGAAUUUGAAGCAGUUGUCGGAGACUUUGGGUUGGCCAAAUUAAUGGACUACAAAGAUACGCACGUCACAACUGCUGUUCGUGGCACAAUUGGUCACAUAGCUCCUGAAUACCUAUCAACUGGAAAGUCAUCAGAGAAAACUGAUGUUUUUGGCUACGGUGUCAUGCUUCUUGAACUCAUUACAGGACAGAGGGCUUUCGAUCUAGCUCGGCUUGCAAAUGAUGAUGAUGUCAUGCAGCCAUUACCUCUCAGAGCUGCACAAGACCUCAUUAGAUUCUUGCAUCAGCCAGUUUAUCACAGUCAGAGAUUUAAAUUGUGGCUUAGCUAUUUUGAGAUAUAUGGUGGAAAACUCUUUGACCUUUUGAGUGAUAGAAAGUAAUUCCCUUUUCUUUCCUUGCUUAUUUAUUUAUGCAUGUACAUGUGUGUUAUAAAUCAAUUUUUUUCUUAAAAGCACUUGAUUGAGUAUGAUGUGUAAUAAAUUUUAAUUAUCUUCUGGUUUGACCUUCUAUUAUGUAUCAAGCCAUUUGCCCUUCA